rnacentral:rRNA from 1 species
GACGAACGCUGGCGGCGUGCUUAACACAUGCAAGUCGAACGGCAAGGCCCUGCUUUUGUGGGGUGCUCGAGUGGCGAACGGGUGAGUAACACGUGAGUAACCUGCCCUUGACUUUGGGAUAACUUCAGGAAACUGGGGCUAAUACCGGAUAGGAGCUCCUGCUGCAUGGUGGGGGUUGGAAAGUCUCGGCGGUUGGGGAUGGACUCGCGGCUUAUCAGCUUGUUGGUGGGGUAGUGGCUUACCAAGGCUUUGACGGGUAGCCGGCCUGAGAGGGUGACCGGCGACAUGGGGACUGAGAUACGGACCAGAGUCCUACGGGAGACAGCAGUGGGGAAUAUUGCACAAUGGGAGGAAGCCUGAUGCAGAAACGCCGCGUGCGGGAUGACGGCCUGCGGGUUGUGAACCGCUUUAGCCUGUGACGAAGCGUGAGUGACGGUAAUGGGUAAAGAAGCACCGGCUAACUACGUG